rnacentral:sRNA from 1 species
AUGUGACUUCGGGAAGAUGGCUGCCCUGACAGCGGAGCAUUUUGCAGCACUCCAGAACCUGCUCAAGGCCUCCUCGAAAGAUGUUGUCAGACAGCUGUGUCAAGAAAGCUUUUCCAGUUCAGCCCUUGGCUCGAAAAAACUCUUGGAUGUUACAUGUUCCAGCUUGUCUGUGACUCAGGAGGAGGCAGAGGAACUGCUCCAGGCUCUGCACCGCCUCACUAGGCUGGUGGCAUUCCGUGACCUGUCCUCUGCCGAGGCAAUUCUGGCUCUCUUUCCAGAAAAUUUCCACCAAAACCUCAAAAACCUGCUGACAAAGAUCAUCCUAGAACAUGUGUAAGUGCUCAUUUCUUGAAAGUCCCUUCUAACUUUUACAUUUCUUAUUAUUUUUAUUCUCAUUCUAGAAGUAGUAAUAUGCUCAUUGUUGAAAACUUAGGAAGCCCGGAUAAGCAAAAAGAAAAUAAGACACCUGUAAUUCCACCAGCCAGAUGUUAGUGGUAGUCUUUUCUUAAUGGAAAGCCUUUUAAAACAUGUUUUUUUUUUUCUCUUUACACCUCUGUAAGAGGUUGAUGUUUUGUUUUUACAAAAUGGAUCAUGCUGUUUUGU